rnacentral:rRNA from 1 species
UACGAAGGGGGCUAGCGUUGCUCGGAAUCACUGGGCGUAAAGGGUGCGUAGGCGGGUCUUUAAGUCAGGGGUGAAAUCCUGGAGCUCAACUCCAGAACUGCCUUUGAUACUGGCGAUCUUGAGUCCGGGAGAGGCGAGUGGAAUUCCCGGUGUAGCGGUGAAAUGCGCAGAUAUCGGGAGGAACACCAAUGGCGAAGGCAGCUCGCUGGGACGGUACUGACGCUGAGGUGCGAAAGCGUGGGGAGCAAACAGG